CUGACUUGUGACUGUGAGCAGGUCCCUUCACCACUCGGAGUCUCCCAUCUGAAAAAUGGGAACAGCCGUCUCCCUCCCCAAGGGUGCUCGUGAGGAUUAACUGACAUCCAAAAGGUUUCUUUCGUCCCGGCUGGAAACCUGAAACUGCCCCUUGAGAUUAGCCACGGCUAAUCACCCCUGCCCGGUGAUUGCUGGGGACGGAGUGCUGGGGUCUGAGGCUCCAACAUGUUGUGCCUUGGUCCUGCAGAGAAAGAGAAGAGGGACAAAGCCAGCCAAGAGGGAGGGGACGUCCUGGGGGCCUGCCGAGACUGCACCCCCCCCUUGAAGAGCUUGGUCGCCACUGGGAACCUGCUGGACUUAGAGGAGACGGCUAAGGCCCCGCUGUCCACGGUCAGCGCCAACACCACCAACAUGGACGAGGUGCCACGGCCGCAAGCCUUGAGUGGCAGCAGUGUUGUCUGGGAGCUGGAUGAUGGCCUGGAUGAAGCGUUUUCGAGGCUUGCCCAGUCUCGGACGAACCCUCAGGUCCUGGACACUGGCCUGACAGCCCGGGACAUGCAUUACGCCCAGUGCCUCUCGCCUGUCAACUGGGACAAGCCUGACAGCAGCGGCACAGAGCAAGAUGACCUCUUCAGCUUCUGAGGGCCCGG
rnacentral:sRNA from 1 species